rnacentral:rRNA from 1 species
AUUGAACGCUGGCGGCAUGCCUUACACAUGCAAGUCGAACGGCAGCACGGGGCAACCUGGUGGCGAGUGGCGAACGGGUGAGUAAUGCAUCGGAACGUACCUUUCAGUGGGGGAUAACGUAGCGAAAGUUACGCUAAUACCGCAUAUUCUGUGAGCAGGAAAGCAGGGGAUCGCAAGACCUUGCGCUGAUUGAGCGGCCGAUGUCAGAUUAGCUAGUUGGUGAGGUAAAGGCUCACCAAGGCGACGAUCUGUAGCGGGUCUGAGAGGAUGAUCCGCCACACUGGAACUGAGACACGGUACAGACUCCUACGGGAGGCAGCAGUGGGGAAUUUUGGACAAUGGGGGCAACCCUGAUCCAGCCGUGCCGCGUGAGUGAAGAAGGCCUUCGGGUUGUAAAGCUCUUUCGGCCGGGAAGAAAUCGCACGGGCUAAUACCCUGUGUGGAUGACGGUACCGGAAUAAGAAGCACCGGCUAACUACGUGCCAGCAGCCGCAGUAA